UACAGAGGUCCCAAGCGUUUGUUCGGAUUCACUGGGCGUAAAGGGUGCGUAGGUGGUGAGGUAAGUCGGAUGUGAAAUCUCCAGGCUCAACCUGGAAAUGGCAUUGGAAACUACCUUGCUAGAGGGUUUGAGGGGGGACUGGAAUACUUGGUGUAGCAGUGAAAUGCGUAGAUAUCAAGUGGAACACCAGUGGCGAAGGCGAGUCCCUGGAAAUACCUGACACUGAGGCGCGAAAGCGUGGGGAGCAACAGAUGA
rnacentral:rRNA from 1 species